rnacentral:rRNA from 1 species
UGGCGAACGGGUGAGUAACACGUGGGGCAACCUGCCCAAAANAGGGGGAUAACACUUGGAAACAGGUGCUAAUACCGCAUAACCAUAGUUACCGCAUGGUAACUAUGUAAAAGGUGGCUAUGCUACCGCUUUUGGAUGGGCCCGCGGCGCAUUAGCUAGUUGGUGGGGUAAAGGCUUACCAAGGCAAUGAUGCGUAGCCGAACUGAGAGGUUGAUCGGCCACAUUGGGACUGAGACACGGCCCAAACUCCUACGGAAGGCAGCAG